CCUUCACAAAGCCAUAGUUCUACAGCCCCCUCUCCGGUUCCUCAUACACUGGCUGAGCUCUCUGACGCUGUUAGAAAAGCACCUCCAAACUCUCUCUGUGUGUCUUAACAGGCACCUGACCCCAGCUCUGGAUGGGAACAGCAGAAACAGCAUAAACAGCAUGAGCACCUUACUUCACACUUGAUUCUGGCUCAAGUCAACACACAGCUGGCUGUGCUCUUGGUCUCAAAAGUCAUAAAUCAUUGUUGGAAGUCAUGUCUGUGCAGUUAUAAGUAAAUGAUAGAGUGGAAAUGCCCUGUGGAGAUUACGUAUUGGAGGAGGAUUGAGUCAUGGUACAUCUUCUGUUACUGGCAGACGGAUGAUAUGGAAG
rnacentral:lncRNA from 1 species